GACUCUCGACAACGGAUAUCUCGGCUCUCGCAUCGAUGAAGAACGUAGCGAAAUGCGAUACUUGGUGUGAAUUGCAGAAUCCCGUGAACCAUCGAGUCUUUGAACGCAAGUUGCGCCCAAAGCCAUCAGGCCGAGGGCACGUCUGCCUGGGCGUCA
rnacentral:rRNA from 1 species